CCUACGGGCGGCUGCAGUGAGGAAUAUUGGUCAAUGGGCGGGAGCCUGAACCAGCCAAGUCGCGUGAGGGAAGACGGCCCUAUGGUUUGUAAACUUCUUUAGUCGGGGAGCAAUUCCGUGCACGUGUGGCCGUAGGGAGAGUACCUGACGAAUAAGCAUCGGCUAACUCCGUGCCAGCAGCCGCGGUAAUACGGAGGAUGCCAGCGUUAUCCGGAUUUAUUGGGUUAAAAGGGUGCGUAGGCGGAUUAUCAAGUCAGCGGUAAAAAUUCGGGGCUCAACCCUGUCGUGCCGUUGAAACUGGGGAUCUUGAGUGGGCGAGAAGUAUGCGGAAUGCGUGGUGUAGCGGUGAAAUGCAUAGAUAUCACGCAGAACUCCGAUUGCGAAGGCAGCAUACCGGCGCCCGACUGACGCUGAGGCACGAAAGCGUGGGGAUCGAACAGGAUUAGAUACCCUGGUAGUC
rnacentral:rRNA from 1 species